rnacentral:rRNA from 1 species
UACGGAGGGUGCGAGCGUUGUCCGGAAUCACUGGGCGUAAAGGGCGCGUAGGCGGCAUGCCAAGCGUGUGGUGAAAGCCCGGGGCUCAACCCCGGGUCGGCCGUGCGGACUGGCGUGCUCGAGCACUGUAGGGGCGGGUGGAAUUCCGGGUGUAGCGGUGGAAUGCGUAGAGAUCCGGAGGAACACCGAAGGCGAAGGCAGUGUCCUGGCGAGUGACUGACGCUGAGGUGCGAAAGCCAGGGAGCGAACGGG